rnacentral:lncRNA from 1 species
UGUUGUUUGCUCAAAUUGAUGCCGUCUACGCAGCACUUGCUUCUUUAGGUUACAAGAAGCUAUUACUGCACAUUUCGGAGACUGGUUGGCCAUCAAAGGGAGAUGAGGAUGAAGCUGGGGCUACUCCUGAAAAUGCAAAGAAGUAUAAUGGAAAUUUGAUCAAGUUGAUUUCGUCAAAGAAAGGGACUCCCAUGAGACCCAACUGUGAUUUGAACAUUUAUGUGUUUGCUUUGUUUAAUGAAAAUCUGAAGCCUGGACCUACUUCUGAGAGAAAUUAUGGGCUGUUUAAGCCGGAUGGAUCCCCGUCUUAUUCACUUGGGAUUAGUGCGGUGACCGCCGCCAACACCACUGUCGCUUCCCCAACUCCCCCCACCCUGCCGGAUACUUCCUCUGGUAACGAUCCCGAUUCUG